AUUGAACGCUGGCGGCAGGCCUAACACAUGCAAGUCGAGCGGAUGAAGGGAGCUUGCUCCUGGAUUCAGCGGCGGACGGGUGAGUAAUGCCUAGGAAUCUGCCUGGUAGUGGGGGAUAACGUCCGGAAACGGGCGCUAAUACCGCAUACGUCCUGAGGGAGAAAGUGGGGGAUCUUCGGACCUCACGCUAUCAGAUGAGCCUAGGUCGGAUUAGCUAGUUGGUGGGGUAAAGGCCUACCAAGGCGACGAUCCGUAACUGGUCUGAGAGGAUGAUCAGUCACACUGGAACUGAGACACGGUCCAGACUCCUACGGGAGGCAGCAGUGGGGAAUAUUGGACAAUGGGCGAAAGCCUGAUCCAGCCAUGCCGCGUGUGUGAAGGAGGUCUUCGGAUUGUAAAGCACUUUAAGUUGGGAGGAAGGGCAGUAAGUUAAUACCUUGCUGCUUUGACGUUACCAACAGAAUAAGCACCGGCUAACUUCGUG
rnacentral:rRNA from 1 species